CGAGCGGUAACAGAGAUAGCUUGCUAUCUGCUGACGAGCGGCGGACGGGUGAGUAACGCGUAGGAAUCUACCUAGUAGUGGGGGACAACAGUUGGAAACGACUGCUAAUACCGCAUACGCCCUAAGGGGGAAAGCAGGGGAUCUUCGGACCUUGCGCUAUUAGAUGAGCCUGCGUCGGAUUNGCUANNNGGUGGGGUAAUGGCCUACCAAGGCGACGAUCCGUAGCUGGUCUGAGAGGAUGAUCAGCCACACUGGGACUGAGACACGGCCCAGACUCCUACGGGAGGCAGCAGUGGGGAAUAUUGCACAAUGGGCGCAAGCCUGAUGCA
rnacentral:rRNA from 1 species